rnacentral:rRNA from 1 species
UACGUAGGGGGCAAGCGUUGUCCGGAAUCAUUGGGCGUAAAGGGUGCGUAGGUGGCGCUGUAAGUCGGGUGUGAAAUUUCGGAGCUUAACUCCGAAACUGCAUUCGAUACUGCGGUGCUUGAGGACUGGAGAGGAGACUGGAAUUCAUGGUGUAGCAGUGAAAUGCGUAGAGAUCAUGAGGAAGACCAGUGGCGAAGGCGGGUCUCUGGGCAUUAACUGACGCUGAGGAGCGAAAGCAUGGGGAGCGAACAGG